UGGGGAAUAUUGCACAAUGGGCGCAAGCCUGAUGCAGCCAUGCCGCGUGUAUGAAGAAGGCCUUCGGGUUGUAAAGUACUUUCAGCGGGGAGGAAGGCGAUAAGGUUAAUAACCUUGUCGAUUGACGUUACCCGCAGAAGAAGCACCGGCUAACUCCGUGCCAGCAGCCGCGGUAAUACGGAGGGUGCAAGCGUUAAUCGGAAUUACUGGGUGUAAAGCGCACGCAGGCGGUCUGUCAAGUCGGAUGUGAAAUCCCCGGGCUCAACCUGGGAACUGCAUUCGAAACUGGCAGGCUAGAGUCUUGUAGAGGGGGGUAGAAUUCCAGGUGUAGCGGUGAAAUGCGUAGAGAUCUGGAGGAAUACCGGUGGCGAAGGCGGCCCCCUGGACAAAGACUGACGCUCAGGUGCGAAAGCGUGGGGAGCAAACAG
rnacentral:rRNA from 1 species